rnacentral:rRNA from 1 species
UACGAAGGGUGCAAGCGUUGUUCGGAUUUAUUGGGCGUAAAGCGCGCGCAGGCGGACAGUUAAGCCAGAUGUGAAAUCCCGGGGCUCAACCCCGGAACUGCGUCUGGAACUGGUUGUCUAGAAUCUCGGAGGGGGAAGGAGAAUUUCGCAUGUAGGGGUAAAAUCCGUAGAGAUGCGAAGGAAUACCAGAGGCGAAGGCGCCUUCCUGGACGAGUAUUGACGCUGAGGCGCGAAAGCGUGGGGAGCAAACAGG